rnacentral:lncRNA from 1 species
UUUCUGAAGAAGAGACACUGAAACAAACCCUGCUAUCGGCUGCUGGAUUGAAUUCUAAAUGCUGACCCACAUGCGAAUUUUGUGAUUGGUUCCAUUUGUUACAACGAGUGGAACUAAUUCUCUGGAUCCAAGUAUAAUUAGAUGAAUCUAGAUCAUAAGUCUGGGAAUUGCACCCAAAAACAUGAAGUUCAUUUCCCUUUGUUCUCUCGUUUCACUGAAUAACAAUAGUAAGUACUAGCCUUUCCUGUUCAGAAUCUAUUAGGGCCAAUGAAGGAAAAAGCACGGCAACCUAUGGGAACAGCACAUCUUUACAAGCUUGCAGAACUGAAGUGGUGGAGGAAGGUGAUGCAGGUUCUUGUCAGUCUUGGAAUGACUGGGAUCAGCGCUUCUCCUCUUGUGUUUAAAGCCUGAAGACUUCUUCAUGUCUGCAUCGAGUCUGGCUUUUGUUUUUCUUCAUCCUGAGAGAUCUAACCCACUAGCAACCCCAGCGCAAACAAGAGAACAACACCAUCUCUUUAGUAUGGAAGAACGUAUAACUGCUUCAGAAAGCAUUGCUGUUGCAGCAUCAAUCUGAAAGCUUGACUAUCCUGGAGCUUUUAGGCUGUUGAAAUGUCAGAUGGUAAAAACAACCCAAGAGUUCCAGAUGGGGCAAUUAGAAGAGAAACAUGCUGAAGAUGAUAAUAAGAAAAUUCUGGAUUCUCUCAAGUGGGAGUCCCAUGUCCUCACCUGUGACUUCCAAAUGCAAUCACUGUUCAAGUCUUGUGCAAAGCAGCACACCAUGAGGAAGUUCUUCAUUAUCAGGUGUCCCCUCAUUUGGCCAGAAGUGUUUGACCAAACUGUGGAAGGUCUGUGUCAUGAGGAGUUCAGAGGAGAUGUCACAGAGCAAUUUGCUGUUGAGUGGGAAGUCAUGAAGAGUUUGCAGUCUGGCUGCGGUGCUGAUACAUAUGACAGGCUGGUAGAAAGGAGACAAGCUUGCGAGAGCUGCAAUGUGGUGGUGUGUUUGAGAAAAAACAAGAAGGAGCAUGUUGUGCUGAUCCUCCUACCUACCCACUGGUCUGCAAAUGGAGCUUCACCAUACUGA